rnacentral:rRNA from 1 species
GAUGAACGCUGGCGGCGUGCCUAAUACAUGCAAGUCGAGCGAACAGACGAGGAGCUUGCUCCUCUGACGUUAGCGGCGGACGGGUGAGUAACACGUGGAUAACCUACCUAUAAGACUGGGAUAACUUCGGGAAACCGGAGCUAAUACCGGAUAAUAUAUUGAACCGCAUGGUUCAAUAGUGAAAGACGGUUUUGCUGUCACUUAUAGAUGGAUCCGCGCCGCAUUAGCUAGUUGGUAAGGUAACGGCUUACCAAGGCAACGAUGCGUAGCCGACCUGAGAGGGUGAUCGGCCACACUGGAACUGAGACACGGUCCAGACUCCUACGGGAGGCAGCAGUAGGGAAUAUUCCGCAAUGGGCGAAAGCCUGACGGAGCAACGCCGCGUGAGUGAUGAAGGUCUUCGGAUCGUAAAACUCUGUUAUUAGGGAAGAACAAAUGUGUAAGUAACUAUGCACGUCUUGAUGGUACCUAAUCAGAAAGCCGCGGCUAACUACGUG